UUAAGUUGUUCUGUCCUGGUACA
rnacentral:siRNA from 1 species